rnacentral:rRNA from 1 species
GACGAACGCUGGCGGCGUGCUUAACACAUGCAAGUCGAACGGGGCGCUUAUGAUGGAGAUUUCGGUCAACGGAUUAGGCUGCCUAGUGGCGGACGGGUGAGUAACGCGUGAGUAACCUGCCUUUCAGAGGGGGACAACAGUUGGAAACGACUGCUAAUACCGCAUAAUAUAUAUGGACCGCAUGAUCUGUGUAUCAAAGAUUUAUCGCUGAAAGAUGGACUCGCGUCUGAUUAGCUAGUUGGUGAGGUAACGGCCCACCAAGGCGACGAUCAGUAGCCGGACUGAGAGGUUGAACGGCCACAUUGGGACUGAGAUACGGCCCAGACUCCUACGGGAGGCAGCAGUGGGGAAUAUUGGGCAAUGGGCGCAAGCCUGACCCAGCAACGCCGCGUGAAGGAAGAAGGCUUUCGGGUUGUAAACUUCUUUUGUCAGGGAAGAUGAACAGACUUAC